rnacentral:SRP_RNA from 1 species
GGGAAGACUAGACUGGGGAGUUAGCCCUUCCCUGUAACCAUAAACUGGGCUUUAGAUGGAGUCGAAGCUGAAGGAGCGGCUCAUGCUUUAAUUAUCAGUCUCGAGCCUGACGAUGAAACUCUGUCCAUUGGGAUUGAUGUUUUGGAGAAAUAGGUCAGGUCAGGAAUGAAAUAAGCCAAAAGCUUACAUUAGGCAGCCUUAACCCUUAACACCGGUGCUCAAGGGGUAGCGGAGUUGAGGAUGGUUUGAGGUCAAACUGGUGGUUAUUGCUUGUGUCCACCUUUUGGCGUGUCUUCCC